CCAUGCAUGUCUAAGUAUAAACGAUUUAAUCGUGAAACCGCGAAUGGCUCAUUAUAACAGCUAUAAUUUACUUGAUCUUGACACAAUCCUACUUGGAUAACUGUGGUAAUUCUAGAGCUAAUACAUGCAUUAAAGCUCUGACCUCACGGGAAGAGUGCAUUUAUUAGAACAAAACCAAGCGGCUUCGGCUGUUUCUGGUUGACUCAUAGUAACUGAGCUGAUCGCAUGGUCUUGCACCGGCGACGUGUCUUUCAAGUAUCUGCCGUAUCAACUUUCGAUGGUAGUGUAUCUGACUACCAUGGUGAUCACGCGUAACGGAGAAUAAGGGUUCGGCUCCGGAGAGUUCGCCUGAGAAAUCGCGAACACAUCUAAGGAAGGCAGCAGGCGCGAAAAUUACCCACUCUCAGCACGAGGAGGUAGUGACGAAAAAUAACGAGACCGUUCUCUUAUGAGGCCGGUCAUCGGAAUGGGUACAAUUUAAACCCUUAAACGAGUAUGU
rnacentral:rRNA from 1 species